rnacentral:rRNA from 1 species
CAGCAGUCGCCGCGGUAAUACAGAGGGUGCGAGCGUUAAUCGGAUUUACUGGGCGUAAAGCGUGCGUAGGCGGCUUCUUAAGUCGGAUGUGAAAUCCCUGAGCUUAACUUAGGAAUUGCAUUCGAUACUGGGAAGCUAGAGUAUGGGAGAGGAUGGUAGAAUUCCAGGUGUAGCGGUGAAAUGCGUAGAGAUCUGGAGGAAUACCGAUGGCGAAGGCAGCCAUCUGGCCUAAUACUGACGCUGAGGUACGAAAGCAUGGGGAGCAAACAGGAUUAGAUACCCCUGUAGUCCCUGUCUCUUAUAC